UACGGAGGGGGCUAGCGUUGUUCGGAAUUACUGGGCGUAAAGCGCACGUAGGUGGCUUUGUAAGUUAGAGGUGAAAGCCCGGGGCUCAACUCCGGAAUUGCCUUUAAGACUGCAUCGCUAGAACGUCGGAGAGGUAAGUGGAAUUCCGAGUGUAGAGGUGAAAUUCGUAGAUAUUCGGAAGAACACCAGUGGCGAAGGCGACUUACUGGACGACUGUUGACACUGAGGUGCGAAA
rnacentral:rRNA from 1 species